rnacentral:rRNA from 1 species
UACGAAGGGGGCUAGCGUUGCUCGGAAUCACUGGGCGUAAAGGGUGCGUAGGCGGCUUUUUAAGUCAGGGGUGAAAUCCUGGAGCUCAACUCCAGAACUGCCUUUGAUACUGAGGAGCUUGAGUUCGGGAGAGGUGAGUGGAACUGCGAGUGUAGAGGUGAAAUUCGUAGAUAUUCGCAAGAACACCAGUGGCGAAGGCGGCUCACUGGCCCGAUACUGACGCUGAGGCACGAAAGCGUGGGGAGCAAACAGG